UUUCUGUAUAAUAUUGGUGACGCUGAGCACGUUUCCAAGGCUACCGUCUGUCGGGCAGUCAGGAAUGUUACAGUUGCACUGAAACGUCUCCUGUACUCGUUUGUGGUGUUCCCCGGUCAUAGACCCACAAGAUUUAUCAAAGAGGGAUUCCACAAAAUUGCAGGUAUCAGGAUGAACAAAACUUAAUUCAUGAUGUGGUGAUACUUGAACUACUACUUAAAUGUUACAUUUAUUUUCAGGGUUCCCAGGCGUGAUUGGCUGUAUAGAUGGCACUCACAUUCCAAUCAUUGCUCCUUCAGUAAAUGAAGGAGACUAUGUGAACAGGAAGUCUUUCCACAGCAUUAAUGUACAGAUCAUAUGUGAUGCUGCCAACAUUAUCACAAAUGUGGAAGCCAAGUGGCCAGGCUCUGUUCAUGACUGACGAAUUUUUCGUGAAUGUACACUGAGCACAAAAUUUGGACAUGGAGAGUUCACUGGCUACUUGCUUGGUGAUAGGGGGUAUCCAUGUUUACCCUGAACCAGGCCCACAGCAGCGAUAUAAUCUGGCUCAUUGCAGGACAAGAGCCAGAGUUGAAAUGACUAUCGGAAUGCUUAAGGCCCGGUUCCAGUGCCUGCAAAGACUCAGGGUCACCCCAGAAAGGGCAUGUGACAUUAUUGUGGCAUGUGUGAUUCUUCACAACAUUGCCACAGUUAGAGGAGAACACUGUCCUUCUGAACCAAACAUCAGCAGUGAUCCAAACCAUGAACAUCCUGACCCUCCUACGGACAUACAAGAUGGAAGAGCAGUCAGAGACACCAUAUGUCACAAUCAUUUCCUUUGACCCAUCACCUCAACAUGUUGAAAGAAGAAUAAACAGAUUUUUUGUUCAACUGGCUUUAUUGGUCGCCUGUAUUUCCUGUACACAAAGUAUUAAUAAGUAUAUUAUUAUGUUGUUCAAACACUGAAAUAAUUCGUCCAUCUCUGACCACUUCACACACCCUUAACUGAUGUUCCAGCAGUAAAAUCUCAAUCUUGGUCUUUUGGAUCUGUUGCUUGAAGUGUUCCAU